CAUUAGCUAGUUGGCGGGGUAACGGCCCACCAAGGCGACGAUGCGUAGGGGUUCUGAGAGGAAGGUCCCCCACACUGGUACUGAGACACGGACCAGACUCCUACGGGAGGCAGCAGUGAGGAAUAUUGGUCAAUGGCCGCAGGGCUGAACCAGCCAAGUCGCGUGAGGGAUGACGGUCCUAUGGAUUGUAAACCUCUUUUGUCAGGGAGCAAAGGACGCCACGUGUGGCGUUUUGCGAGUACCUGAAGAAAAAGCAUCGGCUAACUCCGUGCCAGCAGCCGCGGUAAUACGGAGGAUGCGAGCGUUAUCCGGAUUUAUUGGGUUUAAAGGGUGCGCAGGCGGAAUGUCAAGUCAGCGGUAAAAUUUCGGGGCUCAACCCCGUCGUGCCGUUGAAACUGGCGUUCUUGAGUGAGCGAGAAGUAUGCGGAAUGCGUGGUGUAGCGGUGAAAUGCAUAGAUAUCACGCAGAACUCCGAUUGCGAAGGCAGCAUACCGGCGCUCAACUGACGCUCAUGCACGAAAGCGUGGGUAUCGAACAGGAUUAGAUACCCUGGUAGUCCACGCAGUAAACGAUGAAUACUAACUGUCCGGGCCGAUUGAGGUCUGG
rnacentral:rRNA from 1 species